rnacentral:misc_RNA from 1 species
CGCAUUCGUAAUAGACUGGGACAUUAAUACGACUUCAACGCGUGUGUUUUCAACAGUUUGAUGCUUUAUAAUAGUUGUUUUAUUGAAAAUUAGUCAUAAUUUAAAGUUAACUACGCUAAUUACACUGCCGAAAUUAAAUUAACACCAGCACAGUGAACGUAGCCACAGGUAAUUGCUGCAUUAGAUCAAGAACGCACCGCGGCACCAGAUGGCGCAGUAGUACUCGUGAUGUUGUUACAUACCGUAUGGGCGUGUGAGUGCUUGUGUAAAAAAUUAAGUGUUUUGUGUUGUUUUAAGCGCUAAUGGAGAACGAAAACGGUAAACAGACUGCAAUGUAAAGAAGAGUAUAGAAACACGCCAAAACGAGUGCCUUAUAAUCGACUAAGUGCCUAUUUUAUAAAUAGUUACGUUUAGCUGCGAACGAUACGAAGACGAUAUACUGCGAAUCAUUGGUACCAAGUGACAAUCCACCACCGCAAACACAGACGGAGUCGUGACGAAGUCUGCGCGCACGCAUCGAGGAAGCUCUGCACGACAACUGGCGGAGGCUGACCUCUACACGCGCUAGCCCACUCCCUAAGCAAGAUGGCGGCCCUCUCGCUGAAGAUCUCCAUCGACGGCGGCAAGGUGGUGAAGACCAUACAGUUCGACCCUUCCACCAUGGUGUAUGACGCCUGCCGCAUCAUCAGAGAGAAGAUCCUUGAAGCUAGCAGUGGUGAUCCAAAAGAAUACGGCCUCUUCCUGGCAUCAGAAGAGGACAACAAGAAGGGAAUAUGGCUGGAAGCCUCCAGAAGCCUGGACUACUACAUGCUGAGGAACGGAGAUCUGCUCGAGUAUAACAAGAAGACCAGGAACUUGAGGGUUCGGAUGUUGGAUGGCACGGUGAAGACCCUGUUGGUAGAUGACAGCCAAGUGGUAGCUAACCUCAUGGUGGUGAUCUGCACCAAGAUCGGCAUCACCAACUAUGAUGAGUAUGGUUUGGUCCGUGAAGAACAAAAAGAGGAAGUAGACCCUUGCGAAAAGCCCAACUUCGGCACUCUGACCCUCAAGCGCAAACAUCAGGAGAAGGAGAGAGACGCGAAGAUGGAACAGCUACGGAAGAAGCUCAGGACUGAUGAUGAAGUAAACUGGGUGGAACCAUCAAAAACUCUUCGCGAACAAGGAGUAGACGCCUCAGAGACAUUACUCCUCCGUCGCAAGCUGUUCUUCUCUGACCGCAACGUGGACUCCCGGGAUCCAGUGCAGCUGAACCUGCUGUAUGUGCAGGCGAGGGACGCCAUACUGGACACCACGCAUCCUGUAACCAUGGACAAAGCUUGUGAGUUUGCGGGCAUACAGUGUCAGAUUCAGUUCGGAGAUCACAGAGAGGACAAGCAUACACCCGGAUUUUUAGACCUCAAAGAAUUCCUCCCCGCCUCCUACGUGAAAGUGAAAGGCAUCGAAAAAAAGAUAUUCCGCGAGCACAAAAAGCAUGUCGGCUUGAGCGAGCUCGACGCUAAAGUGCUCUACACCAAGAGCGCCAGGGACCUCAAGACUUAUGGCGUCGCCUUCUUCUUGGUCAAGGAGAAAAUGAAAGGCAAGAACAAGCUAGUCCCCCGUCUACUGGGCGUCACAAAAGACUCGGUGCUCCGUCUCGACGAGAAGACCAAGGAGAUACUGCAGACCUGGCCUCUGACUACUGUGAGGAGAUGGUGUGCCAGCCCUAACACCUUUACUCUGGACUUUGGCGACUAUAGCGACCAAUACUACUCAGUCCAGACCACAGAAGCGGAACAGAUACUCCAAGUGAUAGCUGGCUACAUCGACAUCAUAGUUCGCAAGCAACGAGCCAAAGACCACCUCGGCAUCGAGGGAGACGAGGGCUCCGCCAUGUUGGAGGACUCUGUCUCACCUUCCAAGGCGAACAUAAUACAACACGACACAUUCAAGUCGGCUAAAGUGAAUACGGAAUCUUUGGCUAAACCCGCCGUGCAUAGACCCGGGGCUGAAGGAGCCAAGCCUUUCGCCGUGAACCACAUGACCGGAGCCCAACAGACUACCGUAUCCGGACAGAUUAUAACCGGACAUACCCCGCCUGCUUCAUCGAGAUGGGCUGUGCAUCACAAAUGCAGCAGACUAAAGUGAGCUCGAUCCUGACGGAGCCGCAGCGAGCCUUGCUCUCCACCAUCAGCUCAGGAGUCGAGAUCAUCAAGCAGACUGAAGAGGGACUCUCCAGGGCGACUCUCCCAGCUCUAGGCCAAGACGCGGCGUCCGUCAAGUGGAAGCAAGUGACGAUGGACACGAACAAACAGGUCGUGACGUCACAGAUCGCUGCCAUGAACGCUGCCACUGCGCAGGUCGUUACGCUGACUUCCG